CUUAAAAAUUAAACCCCUAAAACACUCUCUUCUCAGAACUUCACGAUGAUAAGAGAAAGUUUAUGAACCCUAGCUUUCUCCAUCUCAAUUGAUCGUGAUCGACCCUCCUCCCUCCGCCGGCACCGCUCAUCAUCUCAUCUCGCGCGACCCUUCUCUCCACCGGCACGACGCAUCUUGCGUGACCCUCCCCUCUCCGCUGUUGAGUGCUUACAGGUUAAGUAGGGCUGUAUCAUCUGUGAUGUUUGCAUGGGCAAGUACUUUUGUGGGACAUGCAAACUCUUUGAUGAUGGUGUGCUCAUUACUAAACCUAAGGUUCUCAACUAAGAAAGAUCCAGAGUGGCUAAAGGACUUAAGGGAACAAGAGGUUGUCAUCAAAUGUGACGAAGGAAUCCAAAUGAAUCUGUUAUGAUUUAGACUAUACUGAUUUGUUGCAAUUGAAGUUGGAAUGGCUCCAAAUGUUUUCUAUUGUCUCAAGAUUUUGAAGCCUCCGCAUAUCCACUUGUCCUGGCUUAGGAUUUGGACAUAAAGAAAUGGCACAUACUUAUCCAUUUGUUUUUGCAAAUUUAACCCAUGGUCAAAAUUUUAUCCUCUAUUCUAUGCUAUUUUAUAGAGUAACCCCAGAUGCUUGCUGUUAUGGCUUGUCAUAGGCUGAGAUGUGAUUUAAGUAGGCCAAAUAAGAAUUAGGCCUUCUUCACUUUAACUUCUUCCUGAACAUUUAAAGUUCUUCAGAACAUCAUUUAUUUGAGUUAACAGAUUUCUUUUGAUUGUUGUUUGA